rnacentral:rRNA from 1 species
UGGUGGAGUGAUUUGUCUGGUUAAUUCCGAUAACGAACGAGACUCUGUCCUGCUAACUAGGUUGUGUUUUCUCGGGUUAGUGUUCUGGUGUUCCUUCUCGGGGCGCCGGCCCAAUCCACUUGUGAACACAACACUCUUCUUAGAGGGACUGGCGGCUGUUAGCCGCACGAGAUAGAGCAAUAACA